GAUGAAGAACGUAGCGAAAUGCGAUAACUAAUGUGAAUUGCAGAAUUCCGUGAAUCAUCGAGUCUUUGAACGCACAUUGCGCCCCCUGGUAUUCCGGGGGGCAUGCCUGUCCGAGCGUCAUUGCUGCCCAUCAAGCACGGCUUGUUUGUUGGGUCCUCGUCCCCCCCGGGGGACGUGCCCGAAAGGCAGCGGCGGCACCGCGUCCGGUCCUCGAGCGUAUGGGGCUUUGUCACCAGCUCUGCAGGCCCGGCCGGCGCUGGCCGACGCGAAAGCAACCAUUUUUUCUCCAGGUUGACCUCGGAUCAGGUAGGGAUACCCGCUGAACUUAAGCAUAUCAAUAAGCGGAGGA
rnacentral:misc_RNA from 1 species